GAUGAACGCUGGCGGCGUGCCUAAUACAUGCAAGUCGAGCGAAAGGACGAGAAUCUUGUUUUUCUGAUGUUAGCGGCGGACGGGUGAGUAACACGUGGAUAACCCACCUAUAAGACUGGGAUAACUUCGGGAAACCGGAGCUAAUACCGGAUAAUAUUUUGAACCGCAUGGUUCAAAAGAGAAAGACGGUCUUGGUGUCACUUCUAGAUGGAUCCGCGCUGCAUUAGAUAGUUGGUAAGGUAAUAGCUUAUCAAGGCAACGAUGCGUAGACGACCUGUGAGACUGAUAGGCGGCAUGGGAACUGGACCACGGACCAGAGUACUGCGAGAGGGCGCAGUAGGGAAUCUUACGCAGUAGUCGAGAGUAUUGCGGAGCGACGGCACGUGUGUGAUGGCAGUGUUCGGAGCGUGAAGCUCUGUUUCGAGGGAAGAACAGCUGUGUACGUAAAUGUGCACAUCGUGACGGUACCUAAUAAGAAAGCCACGGCUAACUACGUG
rnacentral:rRNA from 1 species